CAGUAGCCGCGGUAAUACGUGGGUGGCAAGCGUUGUCCGGAAUUAUUGGGCGUAAAGCGCGCGCAGGUGGUUUAAUAAGUCUGAUGUGAAAGCCCACGGCUCAACCGUGGAGGGUCAUUGGAAACUGUUAAACUUGAGUGCAGGAGAGAAAAGUGGAAUUCCUAGUGUAGCGGUGAAAUGCGUAGAGAUUAGGAGGAACACCAGUGGCGAAGGCGGCUUUUUGGCCUGUAACUGACACUGAGGCGCGAAAGCGUGGGGAGCAAACAGGAUUAGAUACCCCCGUAGUCCCUGUCUCUUAUAC
rnacentral:rRNA from 1 species